AUGGGAAGAGAAGAAAGGGAGGAGAGGCGACGAGGCCUGCUGGGAGUGGUUGUUGGCGGCGAGCUUCGUCGGGGUAGCGGGGUUGCGAGGAGGUCGGAGGUGACAAGGGCGUGGACGAAGGAGCUCGGUCUGCAGGAUAGGGCUCAUCUCCUUGCGCGGGCACAUGAGGCAGGGCCUCUGGAAGCAACUUGGUGGGAUCGAGGGGAGGAGUGGAGUGCUCCGACUGGAUGGAUUGAUGGGACAAAGAAAUUGGGGAUGGAUCCCGAGAGAUUUCGAGUGGGUGGCGGCGGCGGACACGGGAUGGAUGGGAUAGAUCCCUAG
rnacentral:rRNA from 1 species